rnacentral:lncRNA from 1 species
GGUGUACUACACGUUAACGUCAUACCCUGGUUGUUGGUAAAUUGUCUCACUAGGUUCUCCAGAAAAAUAUUAGACAUCUUCUAUAGCAGUGGCGGUUUUACGUAGAAAAAAAACAUCUCUAACUAAACUAGUAAGCACUAUCAUGAAAAUCCAUUUUUAGAGACAUGCUGUUCUAGAAAUAUUCCUUUUUAGAGGUGGUUGUUUAUCCUAAAUGCCCUUAGAAAUCUAUUUUCAUAUGCGGUG